UACAGAGGGUGCAAGCGUUGUUCGGAAUUAUUGGGCGUAAAGGGCGCGUAGGCGGCCAUGCGUGUCUUCCGUGAAAUCCCUCGGCUUAACUGAGGACGUGCGGAAGAAACUGCAAGGCUUGAGUCCGGGAGAGGGGGGUGGAAUUCCCAGUGUAGCGGUGAAAUGCGUAGAUAUUGGGAGGAACACCGGUGGCGAAGGCGGCCCCCUGGACCGGUACUGACGCUGAGGCGCGAAAGCGUGGGUAGCAAACGGG
rnacentral:rRNA from 1 species